GUGCUCUCUUCGGCAGCACAUAUACUAAAAUUGGAACAAUACAGAGAUGAUUAGCAUGGCCCCCAUGCAAGGGGCAAAUUCGUGAGGCAUUCCAUAUAUAU
ensembl:snRNA U6 U6 spliceosomal RNA